AGUGAACGCUGGCGGUAGGCCUAACACAUGCAAGUCGAGCGGAAGAACGGUACUUGCUUGCGGUUACGGCUGGCGACUGGCGGGCUAUGGCGGAAUACAUCCGAGUUUGUUUUUUCGUGCGGCAUGACGCAGGCGAACUUACCGCAUACGCGCAUACGACCUACGUGUGGAAUCUUCGGACCUUACGAUCUUACGUGAUUGUAUGACGCGAUGUCGGAUUAGCUAGUUGGCGAGGUAAAGGCCCACCAAGGCGACGAUCCGUAGCUGGUCUGAGAGGAUGAUCAGUCACACUGGAACUGAGACACGGUCCAGACUCCUACGGGAGGCAGCAGUGGGGAAUAUUGGACAAUGGGCGCAAGCCUGAUCCAGCCAUACCGCGUGGGUGAAGAAGGUCUUCGGGUUGUAAAGCCCUUUUGUUGGGGAAGAAAAGCAGUAGGUUAAUACCCCGCUGUUUUGACGGUACCAACAGAAUAAGCACCGGCUAACUUCGUG
rnacentral:rRNA from 1 species